AGUUUGAUCAUGGCUCAGGAGCGAACGUUUGCGGCGGGCCUAACACAUGCAAGUCGAACGCACUAGCAAUAGUGAGCGGCGCACGGGUGCGUAACACGUGGGUAAUCAACCCUUCAGCUUGGGAUAACGACUUGAAAGGGUCGCUAAUACCGGAUACGGCGCGGGAGGCUUCGGCUUCUCACGAGAAAGCCUCGCAAGGGGGCACUGAAGGACGAGCCUGCGGCCCAUCAGCUAGUUGGUGAGGUAAGAGCUCACCAAGGCGAAGACGGGUAGCUGGUCUGAGAGGAUGAUCAGCCACACUGGAACUGAGACACGGUCCAGACUCCUACGGGAGGCAGCAGUGGGGAAUAUUGCGCAAUGGGCGAAAGCCUGACGCAGCCACGCCGCGUGAGCGAUGAAGGCCUUCGGGUCGUAAAGCUCUGUGGGGAGAGACGAAGAAAGCCCGUGAAGAGCGGGCCUUGACGGUAUCUCCUUAGCAAGCACCGGCUAACUCCGUG
rnacentral:rRNA from 1 species